rnacentral:rRNA from 1 species
GAUGAACGCUGGCGGCGUGCUUAACACAUGCAAGUCGAACGGUGAACGAGGGAGCUUGCUCCCUCCGGAUCAGUGGCGAACGGGUGAGUAACACGUGAGCAAUCUGCCCUGGACUCUGGGAUAAGCGCUGGAAACGACGUCUAAUACCGGAUACGAGGCGUGGGGGCAUCCCCAACGCCUGGAAAGAACUUCGGUCCAGGAUGAGCUCGCGGCCUAUCAGCUAGUUGGUGAGGUAACGGCUCACCAAGGCGACGACGGGUAGCCGGCCUGAGAGGGUGACCGGCCACACUGGGACCGGGACACGGCCCAGACUCCUACGGGAGGCAGCAGUGGGGAAUAUUGCACAAUGGGCGCAAGCCUGAUGCAGCAACGCCGCGUGAGGGACGACGGCCUUCGGGUUGUAAACCUCUUUUAGCAGGGAAGAAGCGAAAGUGACGGUACCUGCAGAAAAAGCACCGGCUAACUACGUGCCAGCCGCCGCGGUAAUAC